rnacentral:rRNA from 1 species
AAUAUUGGACAAUGGGGGCAACCCUGAUCCAGCCAUGGCGCGUGUUUGAAGUAUGUCUUCGGAUUGUAAAGCACUGUACGUUGGGAGGAAGUGCAGUAUGUUAAUACCUUGCUGUUUUCAUGUUACCGCCAGAAUAAGUACCGGCUAGCUUCGUGCCAGCAGCCGCGGUCAUACGAAGGGUGCAAGCGUUAAGCGGAAUUACUGGGCGUAAAGCGCGCGUAGGUGGUUUGUUAGGUUGGAAGUGACAGCCCAGGGCUCAACCAGGUAACUGAUUUCAAAACUGGCAAGCUAGAGUAUGGCAGAGGGUGGUGGAAUUUCCUGUGUAGCGGUGAAAUGCGUAGAUAUAGGAAGGAACACCAGUGGCGAAGGCGACCACCUGGGCUAAUACUGACACUGAGGUGCGAAAGCGUGGGGAGCAAAC